UGUGUAGAGGGGGAUGAGGAUGCCGUGCAAUGCUGGGUAACCUUCCCUUCUCUCACAGU
ensembl:miRNA mdo-mir-7398y mdo-mir-7398y